rnacentral:lncRNA from 1 species
GUCCUGUUCAAGUGUGGCCAUGAAGAAUAAUGGAAGAUCCUCCCAGAGGAUGGACCAAAGGCCGUGGACAAGGGAGUUCCACCGAGAGAGCAGAAUCAGAAUCUAAUCAAGGAACUUCCCAACCACAGGGCAGGAGACCAUCAGAACGCCUGCUCAAUCACCACAAGAAGCCCCAUCCAGACACCAUGGAGAAGAUAGUACUUCACCUGAAGAUCCCAAACUUUGUGCUUCCGCACUGACGUCAUCGGUCUUUGGGUUGCCUCUGAUGGAGAAAGAGUAUGUUCCAUAAAAGAGAGGAAGAAAGGAACAGACAAUUUGUGACCAGAAUGACAGACUGUGGAGGACAUUGGAGAGACUGGAGAAGACUAGGACAACCUUGGGAGUCAUGUUGUGAAGAUGGGAGAGCCACAGCUUAGAAGAAAAGUGGGCCCCUGAAAACACGUGGGAAAAGGCCACCCUCAAAGAGUGAUUGUAUUCGAUUACGAUAUGAGCAAAAAAUAAACGUACUUUAAUCAUACGAAG